ACGCUGCCUGCCAAGGACUGCAAAUAACCUGCCUGUGUGCUUGCCACUGCCUUCACCCCUUAAAAAGUAGACUCGAAGGAGCUGCAGUGACUGUUACACUGGAGGAAAGUGUUCCCUGGACACUCCCAGAGACAACUAUAUCACCAGAGCAGGUACAGUACAACAGCCAAACAAACCUCUUAUUCCAUGUCAGGCCUGUAGAGCAUCCCUGGGAGGGGGAGGAUGCGUUGGCACUUGGCCUGGAGGCUGGUGACUAAGGAGCCUGUGGUGUCGGGGUUGUUGCAGUGUAAACUUGCACCUGAACCCGAGCAAACUGGGCUGUGACAAGCAUUGCCAGCAAGGAGCAGCAGAGCAGCUGGUCCCUGUGCCUGGGAAACCCCUUCUGAGCCGUGGGAUC
rnacentral:lncRNA from 1 species